rfam:Schistosoma rodhaini strain Burundi genome assembly, scaffold: SROB_scaffold0005871
AUCUACCUGAUGAGUUCUAAAUAGGACGAAACACGCUUCCUGGAU